rnacentral:rRNA from 1 species
AGCUCAAAUUUGAAAUCUAGCACCUUCGGUGUCGAGUUGUAAUUUGAAGAUGGUAACCUUGGGUUUGGCUCUUGUCUAUGUUCCUUGGAACAGGACGUCAUAGAGGGUGAGAAUCCCGUCUGAUGAGAUGCCCAUUCCUAUGUAAGGUGCUAUCGAAGAGUCGAGUUGUUUGGGAAUGCAGCUCUAAGUGGGUGGUAAAUUCCAUCUAAAGCUAAAUAUUGGCGAGAGACCGAUAGCGAACAAGUACAGUGAUGGAAAGAUGAAAAGAACUUUGAAAAGAGAGUGAAAAAGUACGUGAAAUUGUUGAAAGGGAAGGGCAUUAGAUCAGACUUGGUGUUUUACGAUUAUCUUCUCUUCUUGAGUUGUGCACUCGUAUUUCACUGGGCCAGCAUCGAUUCGGAUGGCAAGAUAAUGGCAGUUGAAUGUGGCUUCACUUCGGUGGAGUGUUAUAGCUUCUGCUGAUAUUGCCUGUCUGGAUCGAGGGCUGCGUCUUUUGACUAGGAUGCUGGCGUAAUGAUCUAAUGCCGCCCGUCUUGA